CCGGGCAGUUUCCCCCCGGGAUGAUCUUUCACGGCUCAGCGUCAUGGAGGGAGGGAGGGAGGGAAUCCCCGGCCUCGGAAUGCGCUCGGUGUCGGGUGAAGGAACUGGGAGACAAGAGGAGUAGCUCCGAACUUAGUUCUUCGGGUUCUACCUUCCGUCAGCUGUUCCUGUUCCGACGGGAUCGGCAGGAAGCUGCUGGGUGCCGUUAAGGGAAAAAAAAAAAAAUCCAGCAAAAUUUAGCUGGAAAGUAAAACAAAAGGGAAACUUCAAAAGCAGAUUUGUCGAGUUAUUCUGGAUCACUUUGACAAGCAGUACACGGCAGAACUGGGAAAUGCAUGGAGCAGUGUCAGAGAUGUCCUCACAUCCCCACUGUGCUGGCAGC